AUUGAACGCUGGCGGCAUGCCUUACACAUGCAAGUCGAACGGUAACAGGUUAAGCUGACGAGUGGCGAACGGGUGAGUAAUGCAUCGGAACGUGCCCGAUCGUGGGGGAUAACGCAGCGAAAGCUGCGCUAAUACCGCAUACGAUCUGAGGAUGAAAGCGGGGGACCGUAAGGCCUCGCGCGAUCGGAGCGGCCGAUGUCAGAUUAGGUAGUUGGUGGGGUAAAGGCCCACCAAGCCGACGAUCUGUAGCUGGUCUGAGAGGACGACCAGCCACACUGGGACUGAGACACGGCCCAGACUCCUACGGGAGGCAGCAGUGGGGAAUUUUGGACAAUGGGCGAAAGCCUGAUCCAGCAAUGCCGCGUGCAGGAAGAAGGCCUUCGGGUUGUAAACUGCUUUUGUACGGAGCGAAAAGGUCCUUUCUAAUACAAGGGGCUCAUGACGGUACCGUAAGAAUAAGCACCGGCUAACUACGUGCCAGCAGCCGCAGUAAAAC
rnacentral:rRNA from 1 species